rnacentral:rRNA from 1 species
UAAAGUUGUUGCAGUUAAAACGCUCGUAGUUGAAUUUAGGGGUCAGCAAGUUGGUCGUGCCACUGGUAUGCACUGGUUUCGCUGAUUCCUCCUUCUUGCAGAACCGUAAUGCCAUUAACUUGGUGUUGCGGGGAAACAGUACUGUUACUUUGAAAAAAUUAGAGUGUUUAAAGCAGGCUAACGCUUUAAUUCAUUAGCAUGGAAUAAUGAAAUAGGACGUUCGAUCCUAUUUUGUUGGUUUCUAGGAUUGACGUAAUGAUUAAUAGGG